AAUCUUGAUUCUUCAAAUAUUUCUUCUUAUAUUAUAACUGUCGCAAGACUAUGGUGUUAAACCUUUAUUGGAAUAGGCUUUAUGGACUCGGGGGCGGUACCCGACAGCUCCACCACCAAAUUUUGUUAGUGGCUUUGCCACUUAAAAAAUUUGAGUGCCCUCCGAAGCCUGAAAGGCGAAGGGUGGGCUUACAAAACUCAAACUUGAGGGGCUGAUACAGAUUCGACAUUUGCAAUAAAGAAUAAAACUAUGCCCGACGUGACUUGUCGUAAAACGGUUAAUUAAAAAUAAACGGAAAUUCUAACAAUAGAUUAGCAAUGGCUGCGUAAGUUACGCGAAAUUGCAACCGCUUAUUGCAAAAUCCUUAUUGGUCUGAUCACCGAUAAGUGGGGAUUGGGGGUUCCUAUCAACAGAAACCCUCAUU
rnacentral:tmRNA from 1 species